rnacentral:rRNA from 1 species
CCUACGGGUGGCACCAGUGGGGAAUAUUGCACAAUGGGCGCAAGCCUGAUGCAGCCAUGCCGCGUGUAUGAAGAAGGCCUUCGGGUUGUAAAGUACUUUCAGCGGGGAGGAAGGCGAUAAGGUUAAUAACCUUGUCGAUUGACGUUACCCGCAGAAGAAGCACCGGCUAACUCCGUGCCAGCAGCCGCGGAAAUACGGAGGGUGCGAGCGUUAAUCGGAAUUACUGGGCGUAAAGCGCACGCAGGCGGUCUGUCAAGUCGGAUGUGAGAUCCCCGGGCUCAACCUGGGAACUGCAUUCGAAACUGGCAGGCUGGAGUCUUGUAGAGGGGGGUAGAAUUCCAGGUGUAGCGGUGAAAUGCGUAGAGAUCUGGAGGAAUACCGGUGGCGAAGGCGGCCCCCUGGACAAAGACUGACGCUCAGGUGCGAAAGCGUGGGGAGCAAACAGGAUUAGAUACCCCCGUAGUC